ACGGAGGAUGCAAGCGUUAUCCGGAUUCAUUGGGUUUAAAGGGUCCGUAGGCGGGAUAAUAAGUCAGAGGUGAAAACCUACGGCUCAACUGUAGAACUGCCUUUGAUACUGUUAUCCUAGAGUGUAGAUGAUGUGGGUGGAAUCUGUCGUGUAGCGGUGAAAUGCUUAGAUAUGAGAGGGAACACCGGUGGCGAAGGCGACUUUCAGGACUGCAACUGACGCUGAGGUACGAAAGCGUGGGGAGCAAACAG
rnacentral:rRNA from 1 species